rnacentral:sRNA from 1 species
GCUGGGCAGGGUGGCCCACGCUUGUAAUCUCAGCAGCUCAGGAGGCAGAGGCAGGAGGAUUUCAAGUUCAAAGCCAGCCUCAGCAAAAGUGAGGUUUUAAGCUACCCAGUAAGACCCUGUCUCUA